rnacentral:rRNA from 1 species
UGCCAGCCGCCGCGGUAAUACGGAGGGUGCAAGCGAUGUUCGGAAUUACUGGGCGUAAAGCGCGCGUAGGCGGCUAUUUAAGUCAGAUGUGAAAGUCCACGGCUCAACCGUGGAAGUGCAUUUGAAACUGGAUGGCUUGAGUACUGGAGGGGGUGGUGGAAUUCCCGGUGUAGAGGUGAAAUUCGUAGAUAUCGGGAGGAAUACCGGUGGCGAAGGCGACUUCCUGGGCCAAUACUGACGCUGAGGCGCGAAAGCGUGGGUAGCAAACAGGAUUAGAUA